ensembl:lncRNA
CUGCUGUGAAGCUCAUCCUCCCAGCAUCGAGCUGGGUGCACUGCAACAACACGAGAGGCUGCGGACAUGGAGGUGGUAGGAUUUUAACAAAGAAACUCCAGUAACAGCAUUUAAGGGAAGAGCUAACGACAGAAAAAUAUAGAAUGAACGGGAAGAAAAAGAAGAAACAGAAAGUGAAAUGGGUCAACCUCCUCAUCUCAUUUGCAGAAUCAUAAAAUUCAACAAACCCCAUGGAAGACUUAAACAUUCCUGAUAUGUGUCACAGCUGCGACUUCAAGAGGGUUGCAGUAGAGCAGCAGCUUCCUGGGUGCUCAGUCUGCUCCCAUGAGAUGCCAGGCCAAAGUGAGCAUCCACUUCAAGGGCUGGAUUAGACACAGCAAAUAGGAACUGUGCCACUGACUUCUACGAGGACACACUGUGCCUACACCACAGCUGCAGAAAUGAUAUCCAAGAAGGUACUUGAAGAAGCAGAGCACGGAGACAACAAAGACACUCUGCCUUUUGUUGACGACAAAGAAGUGGCUCCUUCCUUCUCUUGGAAGGAGUUCCUUUUGCAGGCAGCGCGUGCGUGUGGUGGCUGAUGGAGCGGCGGCAGGCUGGGCACCAGAGCUGCGCUGGCCCAGCUUGGCAAGCAGAAGAUGACCUCAGUGACCAGAGUUCAAAACAAAGAACAAGACUGAAGAAAGUCUCACCCUGAGUGACUGGCUGCUGUCCAUACAUAUUCUUUAAAAACAAAGGUGCUUUCAAUGCACAGGGACAGAGGAUAAAAGAAUAAACAUGAUGGUGCCUUGCAUUUCAAAAGAAUCUCUUUGCAAAUGCUUCUGAUCUACCGAGGGCUAAUAUUCUCCAGUUCUGCCUUCCUUUCCAGGAGGAAUGCAGUGACACUGAGUUUGAAAUCUAAUUGGUGAAUGGGACUUCAGGAGCAAGGGGGAAGUCUUCUCUUUUUGCCCAAGCAGAGAUGAAGGUCCCCUGGCUGGAGCCCAAGACAGGGCUGUCUGUCUGCCUGUGCCACCACACGAUGCCAGACAUCAGACUCUCUCUCAGACUGCUGAAAACAUCUCAGCCUGGUGACUUCCUCUCUCAGCCUUGUUGGCUGUUUGAAAAGGUCGUCAAGUUGAGCACAGCAGCACCCAUGACACUUUUCACCUUCCUCAGUACCGUGGGUGACCUCUGGAUUCCUGAGCUCACCAUAGCCAAAAACCUGUACAGCUCUCUCCUUGGGAGGUCUGUCUGGGUCAUCAGCCCAGAAAGAUAGUUGCCAGGGCACAUGGAUGAUGAGACUGCUGUAUACCCAUCCAAUGGGCCUCUAGGAUUGCCUGCAGUGUCGAUGGCUCCUGAACCCCACCUAAGAGAAGAACUCCCUGCCUUCACUGGUCUCACACGCAAUAUUGAUCAACAAACAUGUGAGCAUCCAUGGCAAGCACUGCUAGAGCACUGACAAGUGUGCAUCUCCCAGCCAGUACAGCCUUCAUCGUGGUACACAACCGGACUUACCCAAGACAAGGACAGCUACCAACAGCUGACUUUUAUCAUACAGGACUGCUUCAGGACUGGACUCCAUUGCUGUGAAUGGCAAUGAUUCACUGUCCCAGAAAGCCUUUUGAAGCUUGUUGGCUCGUUCACCAGUGUUACAGUCCCUAACAUGAGCAUAUGUUGUGAAGCCGCAGAGGAAGGGUCAAUGUUAGUGGAUGAGCUGACCCUGCUUGUCCUGUGCUCAGCCUCUGAUCUGAUGGAACACUCUCUAGCUUAGGUGUGGCAACCAUAUCUCUGUUAGUGUGGUAUUGAGCUAGAGAUGGUUCAAGCUGAGUGCUAUUCCUGUGAUCUCACCCACAAGACCUUCCUUCCUUUCUGGUAAAAACUGAGCUCUGUGUGUACUGAAAAAAGUAGUCCAGAUCCAACUCAGCUAUUCUGGGGGAACAGGAGGAUUCAAGACUGCUCUCCAUCAAAGGUCUGGCAAAAGAAAAGCAGAAAAACAGCCAAAAGCAGUGACGUACACAAACCCCAAAUCUCCUGGGUUCACUGGAGUUUUUAAGAACGUAGAAGUAUCUCCUAAGGCAGAUGGAAAUAUUCCUUCUUCUACCCACUGUCCUGGUGGGAUCUGAUGCCCCACGUGGGAUCUGUACAAGUUUCUUUAUCAUCACAAUCUGUCUCCAUCCCUCAGUUCCCUCAUGCCGUUCAGAGAAGUUUGUCCAUACAGAAUAUUUGUCAAUACUCCAAAUAAACGGCAUCAUGCUUCCUUGUUUCUCUGUCUGUAUCUCCCUGUUCCUGACAUAAGUGAAAAUCCUACUGGGCAGGACAGUUCUUUCUUACUGUAUUUGUACAACAGGUAGCCUGUUGGCUUUGUGGUCUGUUAUUGGGAACACUGCCAGCAGUGCUGACUUUUUGGUGAAGAUGAAUAAUAGAAUUUUCUAGCAUGCCAUUGUUUUUCCAAUAAAUUUCUCACAUGUUGCAUUAAAUAU